CUGCGGCGGAGCGCAGGUGAGGCGCGGGGGGGGGUGUCUGCGCAUGCGCGGGGGCCGGCGCCCCGCGGGGCUCAGGUGAGGCGGCGCGCGCGUGUAGCCUGGCGCGCGGCGGGAAGGCGCCGGCUCCCCUCAGUGGGGCCGACCGUUACUCCGCUGAGGUAAUUAGGGAAGGCCGCCCUAAUUGCAGUCAGCUGAGCCGGGCAAGCUGUGGCGAGUGCUCCGCCGAGCUGCGGCUAACCCCGGCCCACGCCUCGCCUCGCCUCCGUCGCUCUGGUGAAGGCCGCCGGUCGCAGCUCUGCCGCUGGCAGCUGGGAGAAUAAUCGUCGUGAUGGGAGCCGGGUCGGCGUGAGGCUUCGGGGCCCUGGUCCUCACGGAUAAGUGGGGUUAAUGCUUCACACAGCGGCUGCGGCCACGGGAUGGGAGACGCCUUGAAAGGGUCGUGUGUCGUGUAGGGUGAUAGAGCUGCCCCUCAGGAGACAGGUGCUGCCCAAGGACCCUGCAGAGAACAGGCCCUGGCCCACUAGGAAAACAAGCCAAGGCUGAGAAGAGAAACAGGCAUGGACAGGGCACUGACGCCUUGCUGAUCCAGUCUGCACAAACCAGGUGAUUCUCAAAUUAAUGCUUUAUCUCUUAGGUAUCCUGCUAUGUCCUGCAGGAUUUGGGAUCCUCGCAGGCAAUGGGAAAGGAAGCAAAAGGAAAACAAAGGGUCUUUCCUGCUAGCUCUUGUCACAGGAAGCCCCGCACUGUCUGAGGGAUCCACCACCACUGAGUGCAGAGGUGCUGGACUUUGAGACUAUAUGAGAGCAAAGUAGAAGUUCAAGCAGAGGAAAUUCCUGUUCCCAUUCUCCCUUCUCCUUUACUAGUUCAGUGUAAAGCCACAAUUAAAGAUUAACUGCCUCCAAAUAACGUAUCAUCCAAGCUAACAUCCACCAGCAUCUCCUUGUGCCCAAGAUUAGACCUUUGGAGCAGCAGGAUACAGGCAGAGUUGACAUGCAACAAACAACAGAGAGGCAGAACUGCAGACUGAAGUACCUACUGCGGGUACCGGUAGGUUUAACUCUGCCCUUCUGAAAAGACACACCGGGCCCUCCCUGACAAGGAUUUUAAUGGUGCAAGCACCUGCGUGCUGAGGGGCAGCUCUUCAGGGUCCCGGCAUGGCUAUCUCAUUUCACCAUGGUUUUACAGGGCCUUGUGCAUUAAGGGCUUGAGCUCAGCCUGGACAGGACAGCAGUAACAGCCUUGUAUAAUACAGAAGAGCCUGGUAGAUCCAUGUGUGGGUUAUUAACUUUGGGAUACUGGGGGUGGGGUGGUAGCAUGACUAUUAUCAGAGCCAUCAGCCUCUGCAUAAAAAUCAUGCCACAAAAAAAAUAAUAAAAAGUUCUCUUGGGGA